rnacentral:sRNA from 1 species
UGAUGGGAGGGCAGAGGCAUGAGGGGUGCUAAGGGACUAAACGCCAUGGCCACCGGAGCUCUGGCCAAGGCCCCAGGAGUCAAGAAGCGCACAGAGGGCAUGGAUGUGCUGGAAAGGGGAGGUGCUGGCCUUUUAAAGAUCAUAUGGCUUGGACAAGGAACAUGCUGCUUUAAAUAAUUUCUAUUAAUAGCCUUUUCUGAACAAUCACAGACAAAGUCUUCUGAAUAAUCAUACUGAGAACUUAAACUUCCACAGGAGCACUGAGAUCUGCUAUAAUCAACACUCUUAUUGGAAGCAUUACUGUUCCGUGAAAAAUCGCCUGUGCCUGGGCUUCUCUUGCAUUCUGCAGACCUCCUAUUGUUUUCUAAUGCCACGCUGGAGAAAUGCUCAUCUAUAUGUGUUUUUGUUAGAUCAGCCAAAGACAUAGCAAACAACCUAAUAAAAGAAAAGUAAAACCUAA